rnacentral:misc_RNA from 1 species
GCCGACUCAGACCCCAUAGCUUGUGAGAGAAGAAGAAGAAAUAUCCAGAGAAGAAGAACACAGAAUUUUCCCGCCAAUACGAAAUCUAAGCUUCCUUUGCACUCUCUCUACAUCUAACAGAAACAAGUACCAGUCUAAUUCUCUUCUGUAAUGGGAAUCAAUUAAAUUACGAUGAGAAUGGAAGCUAAAAGGAGCAGAAGAAGUAGUAGAAAGCCGCUUUCAGAUUGCACCAACUCCAUCAAUUCUAUAAACCCUUCUCAAUCUUCUUCAACCUCUGCCAAAAACUCCUCUUCUAUUAUCAAACCCAGUAAAUUCUUACCCACAACAACCGAAACCCAAAAGAAAUCAACCACUGGAUGUACCACUCGAAACGACAACGCCCUAUUAAACCCUAGUACCGUUUCGCUUCCUACCGCUUCCACGCCUCCUCGGGCUCAAAAACCUUCUUCUCUUGCUGGGACUCCUAGUCAUAAGGUUUCUGAGCCAUGUUCAGUUUACAGUCGGAGACUAUCAGUAGAUAAGAGGAAGAGUAAAGGGAAGGCAGUUGCUGUGCCUAUGAGUUGCUUUCCUGCCGUAAAGACUCAAUUUACUAGGGAUGAAAUGAAUGAAGGUGGAGUUGCAAAGUUAUCCAAAUCCUGUACAGUGCCUUGCAAAAAGAAGCGAUGCCAGACUGAGAAAGAUAUUGCCAAUUAUGCCCUGCCACAGGAUUUUAUUGAGCAGCAAAGAGCUUACUUUGCAGAAAUUGAUGCUUUUGAGCUCUCAGAGGAGGAAGUUACUUCCGUUGAUGACUUGGACUGAAUGAAUGCUAUAUUAAGUAUAUAAUUCUGGGUGAGCAAACAAGGCAACAGAACGCUGGAAUUUUGUCUUGUGUAGUUGAGAAUAGCUUAGUUGAUAGUUGAUACAUUCUAGCGUAAUGACCACCUAACCAAUUAUAUGAUGUAAGUGCUUGAUACUUGCUGUUGUAUUCUAACGUGCAUGGAGAAAUGAUUAUUCUUUUCGGUAGAAAAUACAGCAAGUCUCUCUCUUUAGACAAUAGUCAUUAUGCAAUUGUGGAUAGUAAAUUCUUCAAAUCACUCUAUUGCAGUUGUAACUUUUGAUUCCCACAUUCAUACAUGGCAGAGAAUUCCC